rnacentral:lncRNA from 1 species
AAUGAGGUCAGAAGCAAAUGUUGGAUCCCCUGGAAGUAGGAGUGAUGGACAGUUGAGAGUCACUAUGUGGGUGCUGGGACUCAAACCCAGGUCCUCUGCAAGAACAACGAAUGCUCUUAUCCGGUCUCCUGAGCCAGCCCAGCCAGCUCCGCAUGGGGAGAACGAAGAACUAAUGAGACCCGGGCAAUGAGAGCCCUAGGACGGUCGACUGGGAGGAAGCAGGCACUUCCUCAGGCGUGUACCCCCACACACCUCUUGACCUGCAUCUGACCCCAGCUAGAUCUUGGUCCCCAAAGCUGACCUCACACAGCUGAGGAUGGCAGGAAAGAGCAGGGGUGACCAGAGACAGUGCCGUUAAGAGAUGUAAAGCUAAUGAGAUUAAUUAAUCCAGUGCUUCUGGUGUCUGGUGACUUUAGGACCAGCCUUGUCUCCCUGCCCCCACUUCAGGUUCCUGGCUCCUCCCAGUUUCUGCCACCCCUCCCUCCCCAAGUCUCCUGGCUUCCCUCCUGCCGUCCGGGCCCCAGAGCUUUCUCAACAGUCGCCGAGCCAAGUCCAGCUACGUGUAGGGGGAAGGUUCAGACCACACACAUUCCAGUCGGGAAGGGCCCUAUAGCCCAAUAGUCUAGAGCAGGGGUUCUCAACAGUUCAUGUUGUGGUCACCCCCCAACCAUGAAAUUACUUUUGUUUCUACUGCAUAACUGUAAUGUUGCUGCUGUUACGAAUCAUAAUGUAAAUAUCGGUAUUUUCCAGUGGCCCCCCAAAGGUUUGAGACCCACAAGUUAAGACCCACUGGUCUAGGCUUCCUUCCUCGAAGGGCUGCAAGACUGACUCAGGGACGGACGUGAGGGCCUGGUGGAGUCUACUCUAACCCCAGCCUUUGUGAGGCUGAGGAGGCAGAAGGUGUGAGUGCUCUGAGUUCAAGGCCAACUGGGGCUACACCGUGAGAAACUGUUAAAAAAAAAUAGCUGAGCAGCAAU